rnacentral:rRNA from 1 species
GGUCAAGCUACAAAGGGCUCACGGCGGAUACCUUGGCACACAGAGGCGAUGAAGGACGUGGUUACCUGCGAUAAGUCUCGGGGAGCUGGAAGCACGCUUUGAUCCGGGAAUUUCCGAAUGGGGCAACCCUUUUAUACGGCCAGCUGAAUACAUAGGCUGGCGCGAGCCAACCCAGCGAACUGAAACAUCUUAGUAGCUGGAGGGAAGGAAAGUAAAAACGACUCCCUA